ACGGCCAUGCCAUGCUGAAUAUACCGGUUCUCGUUAGAUCACCGAAGUCAAGCAUCAUUGGGCGCGGUCAGUACAAGUAUCAAAUUAAGAUGGAGUGGGUGACCACCUGGGAGAACACCGCGUGCCGU